rnacentral:misc_RNA from 1 species
UACGUAGGUGGCAAGCGUUAAUCGGAAUUACUGGGCGUAAAGCGCACGCAGGCGGUCUGUCAAGUCGGAUGUGAAAUCCCCGGGCUCAACCGGGGAACUGCAUCCGAAACUGGCAGGCUAGAGGCGUGUAGAGGGGGGUAGAAUUCCAGGUGUAGCGGUGAAAUGCGUAGAGAUCUGGAGGAAUACCGGUGGCGAAGGCGGCCCCCUGGACGCAGACUGACGCUGAGGUGCGAAAGCGUGGGGAGCAAACAGG